UACAGAGGUCCCGAGCGUUGUUCGGAUUCAUUGGGCGUAAAGGGCUCGUAGGCGGCCAACUAAGUCAGACGUGAAAUCCCUAGGCUCAACCUAGGAACUGCGUCUGAUACUGGAUGGCUUGAAUCCGGGAGAGGGAUGCAGAAUUCCAGGUGUAGCGGUGAAAUGCGUAGAUAUCUGGAGGAAUACCGGUGGCGAAGGCGGCAUCCUGGACCGGCAUUGACGCUGAGACACGAAAGCGUGGGGAGCAAACAGG
rnacentral:rRNA from 1 species